UGUCCACUUUGAGUUUAAAAGGCAAAUUCCGCAUAUAUUUACUUUUGGUUUUCGUUCCAAAAAGCUUUAUACUAAUUAGAGUUAGACUUCUUUUUAUAUAUUAGACUUUCUUUUGUUUAACUUUCGAUGUGAAACUUAAAUUGAAAUCUUUCAUUAGCGAUAAAAUUAUCUAUAUUAAGGAUGAAAAUACCAUAUGAGUUUCAGCAGCUGCUGGUAGAUGAUUGUUUUUAGGAAGUAAUGUCCAAUUACAAACAAGAUUUUAUCUCUUGGUUAGCCUUUUCUCGUCUAUUUUACCUAUUUUAAGUUUAAGAAUUGUCUCUAAUUACCUAAAUCAUAGAUGUGUAUUUCAAUUCUUGUGGUUAAACUUUAUUGUAGGAUGAAAAAUAAAAGACUAAACUAACCAUCGUGUCAUUAUAAAUAGAAAUUCAUCUUAGGCUCAGCUCCUCAACCAAUACACAUAAUAUACCUUCAAACUAAAAAAAAAGAAAGGAGAAGAAGUAAAAAAGUAAAAUAUAGCAUGGCUAAGUUUGCUUCCAUCAUCACCUUCCUCUUGGUUGUUCUUAUUAUCUUUUCUGCUUUUGAAGCACCAACGAUUGUGGAAGGGCAGAAGUCAUGCAAGAGGCAGCCUAAUUCAGGGAGCAAAAAUUGUAUGAAGGAUAGUGAAUGCCAGAAGAUCUGCAUCGAAACCGAGAAAGCACUACGUGCUACUUGUGAUUAUACAUUCCCAAGGCGCAGGUGUUUUUGCCACUUUCCAUGUUAAUCAACAGAGCAGUUCCAAGACAUUUUUAUGCCCUAUGCCAAAUAAAUAUUACUAGAUGACUUUCUGCGAUGUCGCGGGAUAAAGUCCAUUUCAAUAUUAUUAUAACAAGUUUUCUAUAUAAUUGAAAUUUAUAACAAUUUUGAUAAA